AGUGAACGCUGGCGGUAGGCCUAACACAUGCAAGUCGAACGGCAGCACAGUAAGAGCUUGCUCUUACGGGUGGCGAGUGGCGGACGGGUGAGGAAUACAUCGGAAUCUACUUUUUCGUGGGGGUUAACGUAGGGAAACUUACGCUAAUACCGCAUACGACCUACGGGUGAAAGCAGUGGAUCUUCGGACCUUGCGCGAUUGAAUGAGCCGAUGUCGGAUUAGCUAGUUGGCGGGGUAAAGGCCCACCAAGGCGACGAUCCGUAGCUGGUCUGAGAGGAUGAUCAGCCACACUGGAACUGAGACACGGUCCAGACUCCUACGGGAGGCAGCAGUGGGGAAUAUUGGACAAUGGGCGCAAGCCUGAUCCAGCCAUACCGCGUGGGUGAAGAAGGCCUUCGGGUUGUAAAGCCCUUUUGUUGGGAAAGAAAAGCAGCAGGUUAAUACCCCGCUGUUCUGACGGUACCCAAAGAAUAAGCACCGGCUAACUUCGUG
rnacentral:rRNA from 1 species